CACGGAACGGGACGAACGUUUUCCUUUCUGCUCUCCGAAUAAAGAUUUUACGAUAUGCGAUAUAUUAAAUAAAAUAUUAAAAUAUAAAUAAUUGUUAAAUAAAUAAAAUAUGGAAGUGUAUGAAUAUCGAGUGUAAUAAUUAUUCAUACAUAAAUCGAUAAAAAGGAGAAUUAAAUAUUCAUCGAAUACGAGGAUAAAAUGAAGAACGAAACGAGUCGAAACUUUAAAAAAAAUAAUCUUUUAAUCGAUAAAUACUUAGAGAUUAGAAAAAAAAGAAUAUAAUAAUUAAAAUUGAUAAAUGAAACAAAAAAUUCCAAUUAUUCGAUUCUUUUUAUUUCGUUUCCAAUUUACAUAUUUUUUUUCUCUCUUACAUUUCAAAUAUUAAAAUAUGUAUUAUCGUAUUAAAAUUAGAAAAAAAAAUCGAAAAGUUUAAUAACAUUAUUAUUAAAGAAUUAACAACGUAUUUUAAAUACAAAGUACUUUCUUUAAUCAUUUAAGAUACAUCUCGCUUAAAUUAUUAAUAUUCGCAUUAAUAUUCUAUAGAUUCUAUAGAAUUUUUCUACGCCACGAAUUAUUUUAUAAUUGUAGGUUUCGAAAUGAUUUUCGUACGCGUAAUAAAUUACAUGUUUGCAUCUUUUGUUUUUUUAUGCGAUGAUAAUCGUUCGGUCACUUUUGAUUACGAUUUCGGUCCAACUAAAUUUAUCUUAAUGAUUUUUACAUUAAUUUUAGUCUACUAGAGACUCGUCAUGCGAUUUUUUACCAGUGAUUUUUACAAGUGAUUUUAAUGUCUUCUUAUUUUCUUUUUUUAUACUAUUCGUAAUUAUUUAUUUCGUUGAAUAAUUAAAAAGAAGAAAAAACGAUAAGAAAAUUUACAAAACGGAAAACGAGAUGAUUCUUAUAAAUGAUUUUGUAAAAUUUUGUUCUAUAUUUCAUUAUAUUUUUUGUAAUUAUUUUAAAUUAUUAAAAAAUAUAUAUAUACAUCGUUCGGUAAUAUUUUACGUAAAAUUUUUGUAUAAUAUACAUAAUAUACAUAAAGGAAUCUUACUUGAAAACUAAGAUUUACAAAUGUAACGAAUAAACAUAUGGAACUGAUGGUUGUAUUAGAAAAAUAAAAUAAAAAGACAUUAAUUUCAAAUUCUGCGUACAUAGGAGAUAGUUCGCUGAGGAUUUCACCUGACGAACGAAGAAUGUGAGAAAAGAAAAGAAA